AUGACAGUCAUUUUCAGCUCAGAGUCAGAUAGGCAGAGAGGCUCCCUGCAAGACCUCCCUGCAACCAACAUCCCUCUUCCCCACCACAAAGGUUACUGAGAUUCCAGCUGAACUUCAGUCAUGAAGAUCCUUCAUUGCCUCUCUGCUGCCAUCUUACUAUUAUUAUGGACUGUUCAAGAAGACAGCCCUGCAGAAGCCACGCUUCUUACUUGCUCCUCCAUGGGAGGGUACUGCAUUCACCCAGUCAAUCAGACCUGCCAUUCGGGUCUAUUCCUGGAUGUGCCCUGCCAUUUCAAAAGAGUCUGCUGCUCCAAGGUAGCUCAAUAGCCUUCAUGCGCAUCCUCACCCAUCUCACCUGUUCUUCGAGUCGGCUGCUGGAAGCUCAGCUGCAAUGACUUCUGUCAGCAAGGCCUUCCUUUCCAUUCUGAAACAGCACUUGGGAACAACCAGCAUUGAUUGUUCAGGCCUCAUCUAAGAUUUUGUUUCAGUCAUAUUUUCAUGUAUCUAUGCUUGGCAAAUAAAGUUCCCCUGUGGAAGG